rnacentral:rRNA from 1 species
AGGAUUAACGUUGGCGGCGUGCAUAACACAUGCAAGUUGAGCGUGGCCUUAGUUUACUAAGGUCUAGCAGCGGACGGCUGAGUAAUGCACAGGAACGUACCUCGCAGUGGGGCAUAGCUUCGGGAAACCGAAGGUAAUACCGCAUGCGCUCGCAAGAGCAAAGCCGCAAGGCGCUGUGAGAACGGCCUGUGUCCUAUCAGGUUGUUGGUGGGGUAACUGCCUACCAAGCCUAUGACGGGUAGC